UGCUAAUACCGCAUAAGCGCACAGUAUCGCAUGAUACGGUGUAGAAAAACUCCGGGUGGUAUGGGAUGGAUCCGCGUCUGAUUAGCCAGUUGGCGGGGUAGAGGCCCACCAAAGCGACGAUCAGUAGCCGACCUGAGAGGGUGACCGGCCACAGUUGGGACUGAGACACGGACCCAAACUCCUACGGGGAGGCAGCAGGUGGGGAAUAUUGCACAAUGGGGGAAACCCUGAUGCAGCGACGCCGCGUGAGCGAAGAAGUAUUUCGGUAUGUAAAGCUCUAUCAGCAGGGAAGAAGAAUGACGGUACCUGACUAAGAAGCUCCGGCUAAAUACGUGCC
rnacentral:rRNA from 1 species